CAAAGGGGAUACCUUAGUAACGGCGAGUGAAGCGGUAAAAGCUCAAAUUUGAAAUCUGGUACUUUCAGUGCCCGAGUUGUAAUUUGUAGAAUUUGUCUUUGAUUAGGUCCUUGUCUAUGUUCCUUGGAACAGGACGUCAUAGAGGGUGAGAAUCCCGUUUGGCGAGGAUACCUUUUCUCUGUAAGACUUUUUCGAAGAGUCGAGUUGUUUGGGAAUGCAGCUCAAAGUGGGUGGUAAAUUCCAUCUAAAGCUAAAUAUUGGCGAGAGACCGAUAGCGAACAAGUACAGUGAUGGAAAGAUGAAAAGAACUUUGAAAAGAGAGUGAAAAAGUACGUGAAAUUGUUGAAAGGGAAGGGCAUUUGAUCAGACAUGGUGUUUUUUUAAUGUGCAAGUCUCUCGUGGACAUGUGCCUCUGGAAAUUAACACUGGGCCAACAUCAGUUCUGGCGGCAGGAUAAAUCAUUAAGAAUGUAGCUACCUCGGUAGUGUUAUAGCUUUUUGGAAUACUGCCAGCUGGGAUUGAGGACUGCGCUUCGGCAAGGAUGUUGGCAUAAUGGUUAAAUGCCGCCCGUCUUGAACAACGGACCAAAA
rnacentral:rRNA from 1 species